GAUGAACGCUAGCUACAGGCUUAACACAUGCAAGUCGAGGGACGGGCGCACGGGUGUGUAACACGUAUCCAACCUGCCCUUUACUCGGGGAUUGCCUUUCGAAAGAAAGAUUAAUACCUGAUGUAAAGGAUGGGGAUGCGUUCCAUUAGGUUGUUGGUGAGGUAACGGCUAACCAAGCCUUCGAUGGAUAGGGGUUCUGAGAGGAAGGUCCCCCACAUUGGAACUAAGACACAGUCCAAACGCCUACGGGAGGCAGCAGUGAGGAAUAUUGGGCAAGGGGCGUUAGCCUGAACCAGCCGAGUAGCGUGAAGAGUGAAGGGUUAUGGGUCGUAAACCUCUUUUAUAGAAGAAGAUGUAUUAGAUGAAUAAGGAUCGGCUAACUCCGUGCCAGCAGCCGCGGUAAUUC
rnacentral:rRNA from 1 species